rnacentral:lncRNA from 1 species
GAUGGAUAAUUUUCGCAAGUGAACGAAUUACCACGUCGUAAUAAAAAUAUCGAUCCACAGGGAUUGUGUGAUUAAACUAGUCUAAUAGUGUUCAUAAACAUUAUGCAAGAAAUACACAUAAAUUGGGGGUAUGUUGAGGGAUGAAUUGUUAGAAAACGUGCUUUGAUAUAAUGGAAAAGCGAGGUAGAAUCAUCGGAAUCGCCUAGUCUAUAGCUAAACCACAUGCAAUCUACUAUAUCAUAGGAAUCUACUCAAGUGUUCACAACUAGAUCGACAAAUUAGUGAAUCGCAAUCUCUUGUCAAAUUCCACUCUAUUCGUUGUCGAUACUCCCCCGAUCUCUCGGGCGGAAGCUACCUACAAC